AUCAACAAUUGUGGUGCCCAUCCACAUAUUAUCAAUCCCCUUUCACCCACUUUCUCGCUCAACCCAUGUGGGUAAUAUCCUUCUUCUGGAUUAUUUGGAUCGGACUGUCCACGUGGAGGACCCGCCCGACCCGCAUCUGGUCGGAGCACCCAUAUAAAUGGAUGGGUCGAGGCUUCUAAUGCGUCAGCCAACUGUGGAUACUCUUCUUUAGUGAUGUCCACUGAACUGCCAAAUGAGACGUAUAAUACUGAGCCACGUGCCUUUGAAUCUAGCCAUCGGAUCACGCUCUCCUCUGUAAUAUUAGCCAGUCGAAUGGUUCUCAUUUUGCUAUCAUGAACAAGUGCGCCAGCUGAUUUCCAAUAUUCCUCUGCGAAAAGCGGGCCCACGCCCCAAACAGGCUUUUUAACUUCAUCGGCCAGGUAAUCAAUAAAUGGACGCUCCAGAUCAUCACACGUGUUUAUCAUCCAAGCGAUGGAAUCUUCUGCGUCAUCAACCCACGGUGGUUGCUCUCCAGGCGCCGGUGGGCCCAUUAUCUUCGGCUUCGAUUGGGAUGGCCCACCUAGUGGACCUACAAGUCCAGGUGGAGGAGGCCCAUGGCCAUGAGGCCGGCGUUUGAGAUCCGAGACGGUUAGACCCAUUCUUUCGGGCAACCCUGGAAGAAAACAGAUCUCUCCAGGUUUUAUAUGCUGUAUCUGCAGGUGUCCCUUCCAUGCAGCAUACUCCAUUGCGGCGGAACAGGCGCCGGAGGUGAAGAACCCAAUCGUUGGAACAUGAAAUUUCUUGAAAAUAUCAGCCGACCAACUCAUCACAACGAGCACAUCAACAAUGGCACAAAUGGGUAGUUUUGGAUUCUGGGAGCGAUUAGAGAGGAGGUUUUCAAGGCAUAAAUGCAUCUGUUUCCGGCUAUCAGCAUGCAUGGGAAUCGGAACGGAUCCAGACGGAGAUGGAAUUUCAAGGAUGUGGAGAAGUGGGUUUUCCCGGAAAGUGGAGGGGACGGAAGAGGAGAGAGAAGAGAAAAUGACAAGGGUAGUUUUGUAGUUGUGAGUAGCUAUGAGCUUACAUAGCUCGAUGCAAGGAAAGAGAUGGCCCUGUCCAAAAGCAGGGACAACAAGAACUUCAGCAGACAUGUUUGAAAGGGUGUUUGUUUCUUGAGAACGUAGAAGAAGAUGGAAGAAAGUGCUUAAUUAUAGGAAAGAAAAAGGAAAAGGAGUUUUGAUUUACUGGUGGGAAAUCGGAAGUGGGUUUGAUAGUUUGGUGGAAAAAGUAAGAGAUUUCGAUAUGUAUUUUGGAGUGUAAGCUUGUCGUUAUCAAUGAGGUUGGAAUUCUGAACCAGGACGUGGGUAUCGACGUCAAUGAAAG
rnacentral:misc_RNA from 1 species